rnacentral:rRNA from 1 species
UACGUAGGUGGCAAGCGUUGUCCGGAAUUAUUGGGCGUAAAGCGCGCGCAGGCGGUCUUUUAAGUCUGAUGUGAAAGCCCACGGCUCAACCGUGGAAGGUCAUUGGAAACUGGAAGACUUGAGUGCAGAAGAGAAGAGCGGAAUUCCACGUGUAGCGGUGAAAUGCGUAGAGAUGUGGAGGAACACCAGUGGCGAAGGCGGCUCUUUGGUCUGUAACUGACGCUGAGGCGCGAAAGCGUGGGGAGCAAACAGG